UUCCCUACGAUUUUUCGCCAUUUCCGAUGGUAUACCAAGUAAUUUUCAAUACUCGAUGGUAAUUGUAUUGUUAGAAACAAAUUGAUGGAAAAAAAAUCGUGAAAAUUGAAGGAAUAAUUCAUGAAAAUGAAAAAAACUGUGUCCGAGAAGGUUACCGAACUG